UACGAAGGGGGCUAGCGUUGCUCGGAAUUACUGGGCGUAAAGCGCACGUAGGCGGCUUUCUAAGUCGGGGGUGAAAUCCUGGAGCUCAACUCCAGAACUGCCUUCGAUACUGGAGUGCUUGAGACCGGGAGAGGUGAGUGGAAUUCCCAGUGUAGCGGUGAAAUGCGUAGAUAUUGGGAGGAACACCAGUGGCGAAGGCGGCUCACUGGCCCGGUACUGACGCUGAGGUGCGAAAGCGUGGGGAGCAAACAGG
rnacentral:rRNA from 1 species